UACGUAGGGGGCUAGCGUUGUUCGGAAUUACUGGGCGUAAAGCGCGCGUAGGCGGCUUUGUAAGUUAGAGGUGAAAGCCCGGGGCUCAACUCCGGAACCGCCUUUAAGACCGCAUCGCUUGAAUCCGGGAGAGGUGAGUGGAAUUCCGAGUGUAGAGGUGAAAUUCGUAGAUAUUCGGAAGAACACCAGUGGCGAAGGCGGCCCACUGGACCGGUAUUGACGCUGAGGUGCGAAAGCGUGGGGAGCAAACAGG
rnacentral:rRNA from 1 species